rnacentral:rRNA from 1 species
CCUACGGGUGGCUGCAGUGGGGAAUAUUGGACAAUGGGCGAAAGCCUGAUCCAGCCAUGCCGCGUGUGUGAAGAAGGCCUUCGGGUUGUAAAGCACUUUCAGUGGGGAAGAAAGCCUUGGGGCUAAUACCCUCGAGGAAGGACAUCACCCACAGAAGAAGCACCGGCUAACUCCGUGCCAGCAGCCGCGGUAAUACGGAGGGUGCGAGCGUUAAUCGGAAUUACUGGGCGUAAAGCGCGCGUAGGCGGUCUGAUAAGCCGGUUGUGAAAGCCCCGGGCUCAACCUGGGAACGGCAUCCGGAACUGUCAGGUUAGAGUGCAGGAGAGGAAGGUAGAAUUCCCGGUGUAGCGGUGAAAUGCGUAGAGAUCGGGAGGAAUACCAGUGGCGAAGGCGGCCUUCUGGACUGACACUGACGCUGAGGUGCGAAAGCGUGGGUAGCAAACAGGAUUAGAUACCCCAGUAGUC